rnacentral:rRNA from 1 species
GAUGAACGCUGGCGGCAGGCCUAACACAUGCAAGUCGAGCGAGCGGCGGACGGGUGAGCAAUGUCUGGGCAACUGCCUGAUGGAGGGGGAUAACUACUGGAAACGGUAGCUAAUACCGCAUACCAUCAGAUGUGCCCAGAUGGGAGUAGCUAGUAGGAGGGGUAACGGCUGACCUAGGCGACGAUCCCUAGCUGGUCUGAGAGGAUGACCAGCCACACUGGAACUGAGACACGGUCCAGACUCCUACGGGAGGCAGCAGUGGGGAAUAUUGCACAAUGGGCGCAAGCCUGAUGCAGCCAUGCCGCGUGUGUGAAGAAGGCCUGCGGGUUGUAAAGUACUUUCAGCGGGGAGGCGUUACCAGCAGAAGAAGCACCGGCUAACUCCGUGCCAGCAGCCGCGGUAAUUC